ACCUACCACUGCUAAUCUAUGCCGCUGCCAACCUACCUACCACUGCUAAUCUAUGCCGCUGCCAACCUACCUAUCGCUGCCAACCUACCUACCACUGCUAAUCUAUGCCGCUGCCAACCUACCUAUCGCUGCUAAUCUAUCGCUGCUGCCAACCUACCUACCGCUGCCAACCUACCUAUCGCUGCCAACCUAUCUACCACUGCUAAUCUAUCGCUGCUAAUCUAUUGCUGCUAAUCUAUCGCUGCUAAUCUAUCGCUGCUGCCAACCUACCUACCGCUGCCAACCUACCUAUCGCUGCCAACCUAUCUACCACUGCUAAUCUAUCGCUGCUAAUCUAUUGCUGCUAAUCUAUCGCUGCUAAUCUAUUGCUGCUAAUCUAUCUAUCACUGCUAAUCUAUCACUGCCAACCUACCUACUGCUGCCAACCUAUCUACUGCUGCCAACCUACCUACCACUGCUAAUCUAUCACUGCUAAUCUAUCACUGCCAAUCUAUAUAGGGUAAAUCAUGGUCCCAUUUGGUCCCAUUUUACAAAAUGGGAUCAAAUGGGACUGGAAUCACUAAUUUAUUAGUAAAACAUGAUCUGAGACUAGAUUUAUAAUAUAAACAGUGUAAAAUGACUAAUUUACUAAACACUAUAUGGAACCAGAACUAAGAUAUCUAAUAAUGGAACUGAGGAAAAAUUUGGUCCCAGUUCCAUGCAUGGUCAC
rnacentral:sRNA from 2 species